rnacentral:lncRNA from 1 species
UACAGCAGUGGCAACCGGUAGCCAGUGCUAGUGGGCACCAAAAAGAAAAAAGGUUCACAAGCAGAUUGCUCGCUUAGCAAUCGGUACUCUAUUUCUCUCUUUCCUAUUCUUAUACAUGUGCAUGUCAAGAUGAAUUUGCAGUGAUUUUUGGGCAUGUUUCAGUUGCAGCUGAAGUAAGAUUUUUUUUUUUUUUUUUUACCCUAUUGAUGAAACUGUGUGCAUUAUUCAGGGAUGUUAACUUAGGGAUUUUGCUCUGUUCACUGUGUAGUGCUUGUUAGGUGAGUUUUGCUUUGAGGUUGAUGUGGUAUUUAGUAGUUUCUUCUGCCAGAAUUUCCCAAUUCCUAAUUGCAUUGUCCAUAUGAUGCAAUAUAGCUUAGACGUUCUAAACAUCAUGUACUUAAGUUCUGUCUUGUAGUUUGUAAAUCUUUAAGAAAUGUGGAAGUGAUUAGGGUUUAGAGAGAGUGAGAGAACAGAAAUAUGGGGACUAAAAAAGUCUAGGUGCUGAUGUCCUCCAAACAAAGCUAUCGAGAUGUGCUUGUAUUGUAUUAUUAUGGGGGUUCCAAUUCGAUAUAUAUUUUUAUGGGUAAAAUAUUAUAUUUAUACAAAUAUAUGCUAAAUUUGAUAUUUAGCCUCCUUAUUUUCUGGGUUUAGCUCUCUGUCAUUGCAUAUAUGUAAAUUUUAGAAUUCCCGAAAAAAAGAUUAAGAAAAGGCUACGUAGGGACACUGUAAGAACAAAAUUUACAAAUAUGGCUAGCCUAGAUAAGGAUCAAGAAUGGGUUUAAAAGCUAGCAUGAGUUAUCAUACUUAAAUUAUUAUAAUCUGAAAUAAGCUGGUAUGGGUGCUUGGACUGUUUCCAUCUCGCCAGGAUGGGUGUUGAUGGCUACGUGAAAGGCAGGCUCAUUCCUUUGCUAUACCAAAACCAAAUAUAUGGGAUUUCUAAUUUUCUAUAUAUCAAAAUUGUAUGUCAGAUCUGAUUGUCUGAGAUGCAAAGGAUCUUAUGUAAGUUGGAAGAUAACAGUUAUCUUUAAGCUCUUACAAGCACCAGAUAAAUCCCUGUUUCUUAUCUCUAAUUCUGAAGUUGCAGAUUAAUUACCACUUACUGUUUUGAAUUGGGUGCUAAUUCAACUUCAGCUAAUGACGAGACCACCUCUUGAUUGCUUUGUGACCACAGAUGCGUUGCUCUGGAGUGCUCCAUGGGUGUAGCAGUAGAAAAUAACAAAGGUUUUGGUGGAAUUUGCAAGGGCUGAAGCCUACCUUCCAACAUCUCUAAGACACGUGUCAUUGAUGGUCUAUCUGAAGGACUGGUUUGGAUGCACCAC